rnacentral:rRNA from 1 species
AUUGAACGCUAGCGGGAUGCUUUACACAUGCACGUCGAACGGCAGCGCGGACUUCGGUCUGGCGGCGAGUGGCGAACGGGUGAGUAAUGUAUCGGAACGUGCCCAGUAGCGGGGGAUAACUACGCGAAAGCGUAGCUAAUACCGCAUACGCCCUACGGGGGAAAGCAGGGGAUCGUAAGACCUUGCACUAUUGGAGCGGCCGAUAUCGGAUUAGCUAGUUGGUGAGGUAACGGCUCACCAAGGCGACGAUCCGUAGCUGGUUUGAGAGGACGACCAGCCACACUGGGACUGAGACACGGCCCAGACUCCUACGGGAGGCAGCAGUGGGGAAUUUUGGACAGUGGGGGCAACCCUGAUCCAGCCAUCCCGCGUGUGCGAUGAAGGCCUUCGGGUUGUAAAGCACUUUUGGCAGGAAAGAAACGUCGCGGGCUAAUACCCCGUGGAACUGACGGUACCUGCAGAAUAAGCACCGGCUAACUACGU